rnacentral:lncRNA from 1 species
UACUGUAAUACCUAGUAAUAUAUUUUCUUUCUAAAACAUUGUGAAUUCGCGAAUUGCCUUUGCCAAUUAUGAGGAGCAAGAAACGUUUUACCAAGAGGUGCAUACUCUACACUUAAUUGGCUAAUUAUCACCGACGUUCUCAUUUCACCGACCGCAAGACGUGCGAGUCAACGUUCAUCUAAUGGCUGAUUACGACAUCGAGAAUCGAGGUGCACUGUAUUCUAAAGCGUGACAGAUGUAGAAUCUUGGCGAACCGCGAAAUACAUUUUACACCUGCGAAAACAUGACAAUAAGACAAAUAUCGAGGAAAUUCAUAUAACAUGAAAGAAGCUUUUCGUUGAAUACAGAAUUAUUAUGAUUCGUCAUUAAAUCACAUAAGAAAAUUUAAAACAGUAAUAGGAAAAUUCAGAUAUUUUUUAAUCAGCGUGAGAAUUUGCAGUGUCCUUUUGUUUCGUCAACUUCUUUCGCAAAAAUAUGUAUGUACAUUUCGAAGAUACAUUUCGAGAAUAUCCGCGUGUACACAGAAUAUCUCAAGAAUCUCCCAGUACGAUUUCCUGCAGAUAAUAUAUGAUGAGCGGGGCAGAGUGCUGAUCAUAUCCGUUUAUUCUUUCGUUGCAGGCGGAGAAGGCGCGAGGGAGAAUCCUCGAGGACGCGUCCAUUAGAUAUCUCUGAUAUCUCCCCUCCUUGGAAGAGAUCGUGUUCCGUGAGGAAUUUACUACUGGGAUUUAUCAAUGCCUCGUGAUCCCACAGCCCCAGCCGCGUCAACGGGCGCGCGCGCCUCGAGAAGCAUGCGACCCAGAAUGCAGCGGGCGCGAAGUGUGCGCUAAUGGAGAGACGAGGCGACACACGUCACUUUAGCAGGACUGGUACCCGUUGUGAGAAAACCGUUGCUUUACGAGCCUGACAUCCUGACCGUCCGGAUUUUGGGACGGCAAUUUCACCUGUCGUCCGCAAUUUUUCACGAAAUUUUGCGCACGUAAAGUACUCGUCAUAAAAGAAACUAAUAUGUCUUACGUGUUACUUAUCCAUUACGCGUCUUGUCCAAUGGCAUAUCAUAUCACAGACAGGAAAAAUGCACGUAGAAAAAUUUCAACAUUAGUUUCAUUCUAAAAUGUAAUAUGAUAUAUUGCGUUACAAGACUAAAUUUAAUUUUGGAAUUAAUUUUAAAUGUAAUUAUUGUAACAUAUAGUAAUCUUUAAAAAAUUGACACCUAAAAUUAAGUGUUUACAUAUUUGUGGUUAGACAAAAUCAUCUUAGCACAAUUAUUAUUGGAUACAUUUCAGAAAUUAAUUUUGUAAUUAUUGUAAAAACUAUUUCAGCAUAAAAUUACAAUUGUUAUUCAAGCAUUCUCAAAUGAAAAUUUCAUAAAGAAGUUUAAACUGGCAUGCAUGAAACAUACAUACUAUUUAAAUAUCAUUUGUAAAUAUUUGAUAAAUAACUGAAUAAACAGAUUUACAAAUUAUAAUUAUAAAAUUCCUUUGUAGCGAAAGAUAUGCAUUUUUCUUCUGCAAAAUAUAACAAUUACCGCGAAAGUUUCCCACCUGAGACCUUAAUAUUUGAAUAUCUUUUUCAUUUUGUUGAAUAUGAUUUCCUUCUCUCUUGUCAGCUUCCUACAUCUUAAUUUCUAUAAUUAAUUUCUUAAUUCUAUCCAUACUUGCUAAUGACGUUCAUUAAAUCGCCCGUUCAUUAAAUCACUCUUCUCUAUUAAUCUACGCUGGUAAUAUUUUUAUCUUUUCGUUACAUUCAAAUCUUAUUCAAACGCGUCGGGGAACUUAGUCUCAAUAAUUGCUUCAUUCAUUUUUAAUUGAUCCUAUCUCGAGAAGUCUCGUCCGUAACACGUGACAUCGACACACUUUCCUCGCGUUCACCUCGGAAUUUUAGCCGAGCGCUAACCCGCCGUCGCUUCCACCCCACGACGGCGACGGGUUAGCGCUAUUGUGCGAACAACAAUGGAUUUUAUUUGAGCUCCCUAAAUGUAUGCACGGCCCGCAUCCACACGGCUAGCCAUGGGUACGUUUUCACUUCGCGUAGCGCGGCGGCGGCGCGUUUUCCCUUCCCGUUCGAAGAAUGCGCAACUUGAAACUUCCGGGAGAACUGGAAUCACCUGUGCCGCGUACAUCGGACUCGCGCGAAAAGUAUACUCGCACGCAUAUCUUUCUCUUCUUUCCUUCUUUUCCUUUUUCUCUUCCCUUGAGCCCUCGAGAUCUCGAGAGUCAAACUCCGUUUGUGCAACGUCUUAAAAAAAAUCUAAUUUCAAAUCUCGAUUUCGCGUGAUGCCUCAUCAGACGAACGUUCAGCGUAAUACGAUAGAUUUAAAAAGCUAAUCCUGGAACGUCUGCAUGGUUCUAAAAAUAGAAAUUACUUCAGACGGCUUCCACAACUUCCGGGACCGAAGAGCGAAAUAUGCUGCUUUGCACAUUCAUAGUUACACAUUUUUUUUUUAUUAGAGCGUAAUAUAAAAUUGGGUCUUAUUACGUCACGUAUACAAUGUCAUGUUGUUACAUCUUCUACUUUUCGUUUCUUCGCGUAACAUGGCACGGCGCGCAGAUAGAGAGUCCGUUUAUUUAUAAUUUUUUUUUUCACUCAUUGUCAGUCAAACCGAUCUGCGAUUACGACACAAUUCGAUCGUAUCGCCAUGCACGUCGUCCACUGACGUUGACGCUCGCAUAGUAAUCUUUGAUUAUUACGUUGUGGAAUGAAUAUUGCGUGAUUGUCGAGGCAUGCAAAAGUCGAUUUCACGAAUUUUAUGACGUAAAAGAAUGAGGCGCGUUGUCGCGAUCCGUUUUUUUUUUUAAGGAUUUUCGUCCACAUGCGUUUCAAAAGAUAACACGACAUAUUUUAAAUCUGAAACGUUACUCGCUAUAAAUUAUGUGAAUUUUAAGAUCAGAGUUCAAUUCUCUCGAUGCUGAUUGACUUUAAUCAUAAUUCAAUUAUCUUUCUUUGUUUAAAAACAGAAUUUGACAUCAGGUAAAGUUAAGCUACAAUUAAAGUUAAUGGACAUCGAAGGGACCGAUCCUUAGAGAUCCAUUUAAAUAGAUAGUUUUAAUAUCUUAAUUUAUACUUUAUGACCUAGAUUUGUUUCGGAAUUCACUUAAUCGGCACAUUCUUCCUGCGAUGAAUAUCGAAGCCAUUACACGAGAUUAAGACUAUAAUCGGGUUAAUAGCGUUUAUUACGGAUUUAAUUACAUUGGCUCUGUAAUUUUAAAUUAUGUAUCAAAUUAUGUAUCAUUGCGCCUGAUUACGUACGACAACGCUUACGUACAUCAUCGCAGUUACGUAUCUUAUUUCUAAUUGGUUUAAUUGUCUACAAAGACAUAAACCAAUCAUUACUGAGUUGCCUCACUUGUUAUCCUAAAAAUACGGUGAUACCUCGCUGAACAUUGGUAUACGACAUAUACCAUGCGUCAUUACCGUAGAAAGUUUCUAAUUGGAAAGGCGUUCCAAGCCAUAGAGCGUUAUACACACGAUGCGAAAUUACGCACGGAGAGUAGGAUUCGAUCGCAUCCUUGUGCGUAACACGCGUGCUUUCAUUCCGGGUUUAAAUGGCUGGAUUUGAGGACCCUGAAUUAUUCGCCCUUUCCCUUUUUAAAAGAUGGCGCUAAUUCUACCGCGUUUCUCUUUUUUGCCGGUGCAUUAUAAUAUUUCAGAGUAUUUAAACUUUUAUCCACUUAAUACGAACUUUUGAGAAGUGGCCUUCGCUCUGGGGAAAGAGAUUACUAAAAAUUAUACGGAUAAAAAUUUGCAUUUAUAUCCCAACUUUCGAGGAAACUUCGUCCUCUUUGCUCACAGUCGACCGAAGCGCGGCUUGUGUUUCCAAGGCAUUAACACGCGAUCGAUCGGCACGUCGUCGCGUCGGCUGUUUCGCAACGACCGCGAUCGCAACGGUCCACUUACGAUGUGCGUUCCGAAAGAAGAAAAAAAAAA